rnacentral:RNase_P_RNA from 1 species
CUGACCGGAACAAACGGUCGCCGGGCAAAUUAACGCCGGGAGGAAAGUCCGAACACCGCAGGGCAGGACGCUCCAUAACGUGGAGUCACGGUGACGUGAAGGAAAGUGCAACAGAGAGUAGACCGCCCGGCGACUCAUUUAAAUGAGUUGCCGGGUAAGGGUGAAACGGUGCGGUAAGAGCGCACCAGUUUUCCGGGUGACCGGGAAAGCUUGGUAAACCCCGUCCGGUGCAAGACCAAAUAGAGAGACGCUUGAGGGCUGCCCGUCCAAGUCUCCGGGUAGGUUGCUUGAGGUGUAUGGCAACAUGCAUCCUAGAUGAAUGACCGUUGAUUUUUUUGCGGGUAACUGCAAAAAAAUAACAGAAUUCGGCUUACGGGCCGGUCAGACCG